GGAGUGUCAAGAAGGUUAGCUGAAUGUGGGUGCUGUCGGAUUUCUUUCUUUAGUUCACAGACCUCGGAAACUGACUGGAGCUUGAAAUCAACAUCCGGGAUUUCGAUCACGUGACUGCGACUGAUUAACUUGAAUCUGGACUGGAGGUAACUACGAAACAUGACGUCACAAAUUAGCACCACAGACUGGCAGUCGGGGAAAGAAUUUGCAGACGAACUUGUACAUGCUGGAACACGAGAUCGCCUGUGACGUCACGUUUAGAGUUGGGGACGAGCAGACGACAGUUCGAGCCCACAGGUUUAUGUUAAUCAGUCGCAGUCACGUGUUCUCAGCAAUGUUGUGUGGUUCAAUGGCUGAGACUGGCGAGAUUGAAAUCCCGGAUGUUGAUCCCGAUGUCUUUCGUCUGAUGCUGAGUUUAAAAAAAAAAAUGUUUGAUGGGGCCCAGACAGCACAACUACGUUGGCCCAACGUCGCCACGGCCGGCACUAUCGCUGUCGCCGGCCUAACGUUGCCAUGACGUUGGCAAAUGGUUGGUUCGGGCCGAUCUCGCCCCACCUUGCGACCGCGUGAUGAAAACUCUGAUCUUCACCUUCAGAAGUCAAUCAUUUGUGUUUGAACAGAAAAUAUUUCCAGCAUUAAUUUCGGGAAUUUAACCAGUCACGUUGCCUAUUUGAAUUCUUUGGACGCAUAACACCAAAGGAUGUAAUUGAGAUAAUGAUGGAGUGCAUAUUCACCCAGUCCUUCGUCUGUCAGUACAACUGGGUUGGCAGGAGAAAGAAAAAAACGGCAUCGGGAAAUUAAUUCUCAGAAAGGUGAUAAAAGAUGCUGCCAAAAACAGCAACAUGAAAGAGGCAGGAGCGGAACUGCAUCUUAGAGAUUGGUUAAGAUAUGCAUGUGACCGAAGUGAGGGCCGCAAAAAGAA